GAUGAACGCUGGCGGCGUGCCUAAUACAUGCAAGUCGAGCGAACAGAUGAUGCUCUUGCUCCUCUGACGUUUGCGGCGGGCGUGAGUAUCACACGUGGAUACUCUCCCUAUCAUUCUGGUAUAACUUCGGGACUCCGGCUCUUAUCCCGUAUAAUAUCUUGAUCCAUAUUGUUCGAUAGAGAGAUUCGGUUUUUCUGUCACUUAUCGCUGGAUCCGCGCCGCUUUGGCUGGUUGGUACGGUAACGGCUUACCAAGGCAACGAUGCGUAAGCGACCUGAGAGGGGGAUAGGCCACACGGGAACUGAGACAGGGUCAAGACGCCUACGGGAGGCAGCAGUAGGGAAUCUGCCGCAAUGGGCGAAAGCAUGACGGAGCAACGCCGAGUGAGUGAUGAAGGUCUUCGGAUCGUAAAAAUGUGUUAUGAGGGAAGAACAAAUGUGGAAGUAACUAUGGACGUCUUGACGGUACCUAAUCAGAAAGCAACGGCUAACUACGUG
rnacentral:rRNA from 1 species